UGGGGCUGUCCAGGGAGCCGCCCGCCGCACGUCAUCCUGGGUCCUGCGGGGACUGGAGGCCGGCCCUGGGCUGCAGCAGAGACCCCCACCACCACCACCGUGGGCUGGGGGAGUUGCCCGCUGAGGCUGCAGCAAGGUGGGCCUCCUCCUGGGCACGGCUUGCCCGGUCCGGCGCCAGCUGGCCCUGCCUUCCUGCCCAGGCCUCCCUGAGACCACCUUCCAGAGCUGCUCUGGGGCCAGGGGCUACCUGCCAACCCCACGGCUGCCCCACCCCACUGUCCGCCGGGCCUGCGCCCCUGCCAAGCCCCAACUGCCGCUCCAGCUGCCACGGCCAACUGUCGACCCGCCUCCAUUCCAAGAGCUCGCUCACCCCCAAUCGUCCUUCCAAGUGCCACUGCCAACUGCCAGCCCCCUUCCUUCCUGAGCCCUGGCUCCCUCCACCGCUCCCAGCCAAGGCACCAGGACUCUGCCUUCCAGACCUUCCCACACACAGAGGCCAGGCCACACCUGCUGUGUGGGGUGGGGGCGGAGGGGCUGGGGGCCUGAGGCCAGGGGAGCUGCACAGGGCAGAGGCAGAACACAGCAGCAGCAGGGCCGGGCCCAGGGCCCAGCACACAGAGGGGCAGGCGUGGGGAGGAGGCAGAGGACAGGGCGGCCCUCAGUGCCAGCUGCCAUGGCCAGGCCCGGCUCAGGAGCCGGAAGGCAGCCAGGGCCCAGCCCAAGCAGGCCUGGGGCUGUGGUAGAGCCAGGGCCUUUCCUCUGAGGGCCUACGAACAGCUUGGCCUGACCAUGGACCCUGGGAGGGUCCUCCUAGCCAUGUCAGGAGAGAGCCCAGUUCCCCCACCAGACCUCUCCCCAGAGACCCCCCAGCCUUCCACAGCCCAAGGCGGGACCCGCUCUGGGUCUCAGCUGUCCCAGACCAGCCUGAGCUCCCACCUGCCUCACCACCCAGCACCUGGGGCCAGCCCAAGUCCCCUUAGGGUCUGACCUCUGGCUGCCUCUCUGGGUCUCAGCCCCUGGCCCUGCUGCCCUGACUGCCUUAUAGCCCCUCUCCCCUCACCCCAGUGGUCCCUGAGCCCCACCACACGUGGGGCCCCCACAGCCUGUCCUUCCCCCAGCCCUGAGCUCACGGCAGGUGCCCUUGAGCCAGCUGGCCAGGCCGGGGGAGACACAUUGCUGCCCCUCGCAGGUGCUGGCCUGGCUGUAAUUCCAUCCCAGGCUCUGGACAGCCAGUCAGCAUCCAGCAGGGCAUCCAGGCUGAAGGGACAGCCGCUCCCCAGGGCUCACAGCCUCCAAGGCUCACAUUGCAGAGGGUGGCGAUCACUGGGCAGAUAGCCACAGCAGGGAGAGGGGCUCCUGGCUCUCCCCGACAUCCCCUCCAGGACCCACAGGCUGGGCAACUGGCCCCGGGAGGAAGGGAGAGGCAGGGCACGUUUGCUGGGCACCUACCAUAUGCCAGGAGUCUCCCCACAGGGACAGUGGUGAGGGGAGGUGCCUGCCCAGGGCCACCCAGCCCACCUCCUGUGCAAGGGAAUGGGAAGGGGAGAAAAGGGAGGCCUGGGAGCUGUGGCUCUGUCCUGCCCCAAAGGGAUCUCCUCUCCCACCAGCGGUCUUCUGGGAGCCCCUGGGUGGGUGUGGAGAGGCCUAGCCCUGGGCAGUGCCACCUGCGGCCUCACCGGUUCACCCACCGGCUCGCUCACUGGCUACUGGCCAGGCAGCGUGCAUAGGACACAAGGAAUCCACUGCAGCAGGGGUGAGGCCUGAAGAGCCAGCAAAGUCCUUUGUUCUGGGAGGGAGUCAGCAAAUGGGUCAGCAGGUUUGACGUGGAACACCUGACGUGCAACACGUGACAUGGAACCUGUGACGUGGAACACGUGACAUGGAACAUGUGAUGUGGAAGGGCCCCGAAAGUCUGUGAAAUCCCUCCCUGCAGCUCGUGCCCUCAGCCAAGCCGUGAGAAAGUCUGUCAGGUGACUGCAGGACCCCCCCCAAAACACUGCACGGUGCUCCCCCAAACUGCCCAGGCCUGGAAACAGGGCACGUCUGAGAACCUGUCACCAACCGGAGGAGCCUAAGGAGACAUGACAGCUCUGAGCACUGUGGCCCUGGGGGGCCCGGAACAGAGGCCACCGACGGGGAACUGAUGGGAUCCGGAGGGCGCCUGGGCUGCCGCUGGGGGUCGUCGCACCACCUGGCUGCUUGGGGUGCAAAGCUGCCAAGGCAAGGUGGGGCGGUGACAUAGGGGGAGCUGACACUGAGUGAGGGGUCGCGGAAAUUCUCCAUGCUUUGCAACGCUGCAGCCUUUCUGAAACCUGAAGAUAUUCCAAAAUAAAUUUUAUCUUUUUU